rnacentral:tRNA from 1 species
GCCCGGAUGGCUCAGUCAGUUGAGCGUCUGACUUCAGCUCAGGUCAUGGUCUCACUGCUCGUGAGUUCGAGCCCCACGUCGGGGCU